GUUAAGAGACUCAGGCCAAGAAACAUCUGUACUUCCCAUCCUCUAAACCCAAUUCAGAUGGCAUCCAGACAUCCAGUGUGACAAGGGAAAAAAGAACAGGUCUUCAUUGAAUGAAUCUGCUAGUUCCACACCUUGUUUUAUUGACAGAAACUGUUGAGGAUCCCAAAUUUGAUUGGUUUGAAGAGCAUGUGAAGGGUUUGACUAGAUGACGAAUGCCAAUAUUAAAUCUGCUGGAGUUUCCUGUACAAGAUGAAGAGAGACAACAUCCAAAAUUAGUUAAGAGAUGAUUUCCUUAAAUGUGGCUUAAGAAGUAUGGACACAUAAAACUCUACCUUGAAAAAAUCUACACUGGAACAACCAUAUCCAACAGAUCUCAAGCUACUGUGUGUGUGAAUGAACAUUCUCUUUUGUUUCAUGCCUGAAUGCUGUACAUCUAUUUUGGAUUGUAUAUUGUGUUUGUGUAUUUAUGCUUUGAUUCAUAGUAACUUCUCUUGUUAUGGAAUUGAUUUGCAUUAAACACAAACUGUAAAUAAAA